AUGAACGCUGGCGGCGUGCCUAAUCCAUGCAAGUCGAGCGAACGGACGAGAAGCUUGCUUCUCUGAUGUUAGCGGCGGACGGGUGAGUAACACGUGGAUAACCUACCUAUAAGACUGGGAUAACUUCGGGAAACCGGAGCUAAUACCGGAUGAUAUUUUGAACCGCAUGGUUCAAAAGUGAAAGACGGUCUUGCUGUCACUUAUAGAUGGAUCCGCGCUGCAUUAGCUAGUUGGUAAGGUAACGGCUUACCAAGGCAACGAUGCAUAGCCGACCUGAGAGGGUGAUCGGCCACACUGGAACUGAGACACGGUCCAGACUCCUACGGGAGGCAGCAGUAGGGAAUCUUCCGCAAUGGGCGAAAGCCUGACGGAGCAACGCCGCGUGAGUGAUGAAGGUCUUCGGAUCGUAAAACUCUGUUAUUAGGGAAGAACAUAUGUGUAAGUAACUGUGCACAUCUUGACGGUACCUAAUCAGAAAGCCACGGCUAACUACGUG
rnacentral:rRNA from 1 species